GAUGAACGCUGGCGGCGUGCCUAAUACAUGCAAGUCGAGCGAACGGACGAGAAGCUUGCUUCUCUGAUGUUAGCGGCGGACGGGUGAGUAACACGUGGAUAACCUACCUAUAAGACUGGGAUAACUUCGGGAAACCGGAGCUAAUACCGGAUAAUAUUUUGAACCGCAUGGUUCAAAAGUGAAAGACGGUCUUGCUGUCACUUAUAGAUGGAUCCGCGCUGCAUUAGCUAGUUGGUAAGGUAACGGCUUACCAAGGCAACGAUGCAUAGCCGACCUGAGAGGGUGAUCGGCCACACUGGAACUGAGACACGGUCCAGACUCCUACGGGAGGCAGCAGUAGGGAAUCUUCCGCAAUGGGCGAAAGCCUGACGGAGCAACGCCGCGUGAGUGAUGAAGGUCUUCGGAUCGUAAAACUCUGUUAUUAGGGAAGAACAUAUGUGUAAGUAACUGUGCACAUCUUGACGGUACCUAAUCAGAAAGCCACGGCUAACUACGUGCCAGCAGCCGCGGUAAUACGUAGGUGGCAAGCGUUAUCCGGAAUUAUUGGGCGUAAAGCGCGCGUAGGCGGUUUUUUAAGUCUGAUGUGAAAGCCCACGGCUCAACCGUGGAGGGUCAUUGGAAACUGGAAAACUUGAGUGCAGAAGAGGAAAGUGGAAUUCCAUGUGUAGCGGUGAAAUGCGCAGAGAUAUGGAGGAACACCAGUGGCGAAGGCGACUUUCUGGUCUGUAACUGACGCUGAUGUGCGAAAGCGUGGGGAUCAAACAGGAUUAGAUACCCUGGUAGUCCACGCCGUAAACGAUGAGUGCUAAGUGUUAGGGGGUUUCCGCCCCUUAGUGCUGCAGCUAACGCAUUAAGCACUCCGCCUGGGGAGUACGACCGCAAGGUUGAAACUCAAAGGAAUUGACGGGGACCCGCACAAGCGGUGGAGCAUGUGGUUUAAUUCGAAGCAACGCGAAGGACCUUACCAAAUCUUGACAUCUUUUGACAACUCUAGAGAUAGAGCCUUCCCCUUCGGGGGACAAAGUGACAGGUGGUGCAUGGUUGUCGUCAGCUCGUGUCGUGAGAUGUUGGGUUAAGUCCCGCAACGAGCGCAACCCUUAAGCUUAGUUGCCAUCAUUAAGUUGGGCACUCUAAGUUGACUGCCGGUGACAAACCGGAGGAAGGUGGGGAUGACGUCAAAUCAUCAUGCCCCUUAUGAUUUGGGCUACACACGUGCUACAAUGGACAAUACAAAGGGCAGCGAAACCGCGAGGUCAAGCAAAUCCCAUAAAGUUGUUCUCAGUUCGGAUUGUAGUCUGCAACUCGACUACAUGAAGCUGGAAUCGCUAGUAAUCGUAGAUCAGCAUGCUACGGUGAAUACGUUCCCGGGUCU
rnacentral:rRNA from 1 species